AUGGCACGCUACAUGCUCAAGGCAAAGCAGGUGCCGAGCACGUAUUGGGGGAAGGCCGUGCUGACGGCCGUCUUCAUCCUCAACCGCUCCUUCACAAGGAGCGUCGAAGGCAAGACGCCUUAUGAGGCGUGGUAUGGGAGGAAGCCCGACGUACGCUUCCUCCGCACCUUUGGCUGCGUUGGGCACGUCAAGACGACGCGCCCACAGCUGAAGAAGCUCGACGACAGGAGCACCCCAAUGGUGUUCAUGGGCUACAAGAUGGGCUCUAAGGCGUACAAGAUGUACGACCCCGUCUCAAAGCGUGUGCAUGUCUCUCGCGACGUCAUCUUCGACGAAGACGCGCGAUGGACUUGGGAGGCGUCGGGGGAGGCCCCGGCAAGCAGCUCCUUCACCGUGGAGUACCCGAUGUACUCUACGACCCCGGGAAGCAAGACCCGGGAAGUGCCACCCCGGGAAGCUCGGGAGGUGUGGAUUCGGGAACAGCAACCCCGAGAACACCGUCCCCGAGUACGGUGUCGCCGGACACCAUAA
rnacentral:rRNA from 1 species